rnacentral:rRNA from 1 species
AAGCCCGAAGCUUGCUUCUGGUGGAUGAGUGGCGAACGGGUGAGUAACACGUGAGUAACCUGCCCCUGAUUUCGGGAUAAGCCUGGGAAACCGGGUCUAAUACCGGAUACGACCAACCCUCGCAUGAGGGUUGGUGGAAAGUUUUUCGAUCAGGGAUGGGCUCGCGGCCUAUCAGCUUGUUGGUGGGGUAAUGGCCCACCAAGGCGACGACGGGUAGCCGGCCUGAGAGGGCGACCGGCCACACUGGGACUGAGACACGGCCCAGACUCCUACGGGAGGCAGCAGUGGGGAAUAUUGCACAAUGGGGGAAACCCUGAUGCAGCGACGCAGCGUGCGGGAUGACGGCCUUCGGGUUGUAAACCGCUUUCAGCAGGGAAGAAGCGAAAGUGACGGUACCUGCAGAAGAAGUACCGGCUAACUACGUGCCAGCAGCCGCGGUAAUACGUAGGGUACGAGCGUUGUCCGGAAUUAUUGGGCGUAAAGAGCUCGUAGGUGGUUGGUCACGUCUGCUGUGGAAACGCAACGCUUAACGUUGCGCGUGCAGUGGGUACGGGCUGACUAGAGUGCAGUAGGGGAGUCUGGAAUUCCUGGUGUAGCGGUGAAAUGCGCAGAUAUCAGGAGGAACACCGGUGGCGAAGGCGGGACUCUGGGCUGUAACUGACACUGAGGAGCGAAAGCAUGGGGAGCGAACAGGAUUAGAUACCCUGGUAGUCCAUGCCGUAAACGUUGGGCACUAGGUGUGGGGGACAUUCCACGUUCUCCGCGCCGUAGCUAACG